ACCUCGGGCGCCGCGAGGUGGGUCGUGAGGUCGUUGCCGAAGCUGGACCGAUCGCGCCAGACCAGGUUCUGGGUGUGCGACGUGGCGUUCAUGUCGUCAGCGACGAGAUGGAGCCUGAGCAACGGUGGGGGAGGCGCCGGCGGUGGCGGUGGGGAAGGUGGGGAAGGUGGCGGCGGUGGGGAAGGUGGCGGUGGGAUGACGCACGCCGCCGUGUCAACCGUGGUGCCGUCAACGCAUGAACGCUCACCCACGAGAAAAUAACCGGUGUCGCACGUCGGUGUGC
rnacentral:lncRNA from 1 species